rnacentral:rRNA from 1 species
UACGUAGGGCGCAAGCGUUGUCCGGAAUUAUUGGGCGUAAAGAGCUCGUAGGUGGUUUGUCGAGUCUGUCGUGAAAGCCCGGGGCUUAACCCCGGGUCUGCAUUCGAUACGGGCAGACUAGAGUGUGGUAGGGGAGAUCGGAAUUCCUGGUGUAGCGGUGAAAUGCGCAGAUAUCAGGAGGAACACCGGUGGCGAAGGCGGAUCUCUGGGCCAUUACUGACGCUGAGGAGCGAAAGCGUGGGGAGCGAACAGG